rfam:Salmo salar isolate Sally breed double haploid chromosome ssa25, whole genome shotgun sequence.
UGCAUUCGCUACUGUAAGUCGCUCUGGAUAAGAGUGUCUGCUCAAUGACUGACA